rnacentral:tmRNA from 1 species
GGGGGUGCUCCGGUUUCGACUGGUAUGGUUCGGGGUGCGGGACGCAGGUGGAGCGCCAACUCCUAAACUGGCAAAACAUUUAAUUGCCGACAACGACAAUUACGGCUACGCUUUAGCAGCGUAAUCGCGUGGCUCCGCCCCGCCGCUCUGAGGGACGGAAGCCGCGUCGCAAACAGAGCUGGCCAAACAAGGUUUUCGGACCUUGCGCGGUAAGACUUUUCCGAAAUAAGGACGCUCCGCCUGCCGCGAAGCCAAGGGCGCCCCGACAAAUUGAUACGCGGCUAAACCUGUAGAAUUCCGUAUUUCGCGUAUUAGGACGCGGGUUCGACUCCCGCCAUCUCCAGCG